ensembl:lncRNA
CAGAGAACGAGAGGUGCAGACGGGAGGCGCUGCCAAGCUGGCGGCCCGACUGCCCCGGUCCCACUCGCACCCGCGGCUCAGCCGCGUCCGUGCCCACCCGCGGCUGGGCCGCGCCCGUGCGUCGCUGCCCCCGUCGCCCCUGCCGCACCCUCCGUUGCCGGGCCUGCCGCCAGGCCUGAGCUGCGGGCCGCCACCGCCCUCAGCCCUCGCCCGCGCCGAGCUACCGCCGCUGCCCGCGCUCCCGCUGCGGCCCGAGCUGUUGGCACCUUGGGGCCCCGGCGCCCACCUUGCGCUGCCCGAGCUACCGCCCGAGGCCUGCGCUCCCCCGCCGCCUGCAGCCGCGCUCGCCCUGCAGGACCUGCCGCGCUUGCCCGCUGCCGCGCCACCGCCUGGGCACCCGCCGCUGCCUCCGCUGCCUCCGCUGCCAGAGGCCGCCGCUGCCGCCGUGCCCAGGCCUGUGGGCGCGCGCGGCCGCCCGGCCCUGCGAGGGGAGGCGCCCCUGCCGCCGCUGCCGCCGCUGCCCUACCGGCCCUCGUCCUUCGGCCUGCUGGGCCCUCCCGCUCCCCAAGAUCCCUGGCCGCUGCCCGCCUUUCCCCCCGCCGUCGCCCCCGCCUCCCCCGCUGUCCUUCUUCCUGACCCCUCCCUGCUGACCUCCGGUGCUGCGAGGCCGCCGGCUGCUGGGGCUGCGCUCCGGUGGCCCGGCUCAGGUAACCAGGCUGGCAGCCCAUCUCCAUGGGCUUUUCUGCAGUAGCUCAGGAGUAUCAGGAAGCCAACCCUGACCUUGGAGGACCUCUAAGAGCCCAGGACCCACCAGCAAGAAAAGUUGUGCAGUUGCAGGCCGGGACUUUAGCUCAGUGGUUCUGCUACCUGCUUCAAAAGUGCAAGGACCCGAGUUUGAUCCCCGGUACCAGAAAAAAAGAAAAAAAAAAAAAAAGUUGUACAGUUGCAAUUGGCUAACAAGUGAAGCGGAGUAAACAAGAGGGACAAUGAAUGUGUCCUCUUAAAGAUAGCACUAAUCAGGGGACCCCACCCUUAGACUCUGGGAGCCAGAAGUGCUGCUGGUUGGAAGCUGAUGAUCACAGCCGACAAUAAAGUUAAUUGUUACCCAGUC